GCAAUUUACGUAAGAGAGGGUGGAGGCAGCGCCACAUUCCAACGUGCGCUCAAGCGAGUUGGAACGCGUCCGAGGAAUGACUGGCAUUAGGAAUGACUGGAUAAAAUGUGCUGUGGAGAAAAGCUCCUACCGACAAGCAGGUUGUCCAGUAAGCCUCGGUGAGUGUUAAGUGCCUGCUUAACCUCAGCUCAGCCCGAGCAAACUGCAGAGCUUCAAGUUAGCGUGCAUCCAGUGAAGACUCAAUCACAUAGAAGUUGGCGUCAACUCUGUGAAUAUGUGAUUCCAAGAUCAUCAGUACAAACAACUAUAUGUGAGUACAAGUUAUUGAGAUGUGUCACCACUUUGCCAAGGCCUAGAAGAAGCCCCGAACUGUCACCCUCAGUGACAGGAAACUGGUUAGGAUGUUCAGGAAUAAUCCAAGAACCACCAAGGCUCAAGCCUACUGCGAACUGGAAACUGCAGAAACACCAGUGUCACUGUCCACAGUGAAGCAUCACCAUGGACUGAGAAGGUGCUUACCAAGAAGGAAGCCCCUGCUCCAAAAUCAACAUCUUCAAGCUCAACUUAAAUUUGCCCACAUGGACAAACCAAAUACCUUCAGAAGAAAGAUUUGAUGGUUGAGAUGGUCAAUGGACAAGAUAAAGCUUAAGCUAUUCUCUAAAGUUGUAAAGAGUAAAGUUGAGGCUCUCAAACCAAACAACACGGUCCAGCGGUUAAGGAUGAUGGUGGCAGCGUCAUGCUUCGGGCUGUUUCAAAUUCUUCAACUUCACCUCAAAUCAACAGCUAAACGGUUGAAACGUGGACACAAUUGGAUGUCUUAACAGGAAAAAUCAUAUCAAGCACAUAACAGUUUUUCGAAUGGAUAAAGCUAUAAUAAAUAUAGGAAAAUAUGGAUAAAUAUAGAAAAAAACAAGAGAUAAUUAUUUUUUUAUUCAAUUCAGUUUUAUUUAUAUAGUGCAACAUUGAAACAAUAGUUGCCUCAAGGUGUUUAUCUUCCACAGGACACAAAUUAUAGGUGCUCUGACACACCUGACCCAUUGCAUUACAACCAGUCACUAACAGAGUAACCCUUAUUUGGAAUUUAAUGUGGUGGGAAUUUAGGUUUUAAACUCCAACUUGAUUGCUUUCCUCUAACACAUUUUCACAGUAUACACACUCAUUUUACUAUAAAAUCUAAGCUCUUCUUUGAUGUAAAAUUUUAUUGCACAUAUAAGUAA